rnacentral:rRNA from 1 species
UACGUAGGGGCCUAGCGUUUGUCCGGAAUCAUUGGGCGUAAAGAGCUCGUAGGCGGUUCGGCAAGUCACGUGUGAAAUCUCCACGCUUAACGUGGAGGCGCCACGUGAAACUGCUGUGACUUGAGUUCGGUAGGGGAGCAGGGAAUUCCUGGUGUAGCGGUGAAAUGCGCAGAUAUCAGGAGGAACACCGGUGGCGAAGGCGGGUCUCUGGGCCGUAACUGACGCUGAGGAGCGAAAGCGUGGGGGAGCGAACAGGG